UACAGAGGUGGCAAGCGUUGUUCGGAUUUAUUGGGCGUAAAGGGUUCGUAGGCGGACCGGAAAGUCUGAUGUGAAAGCCCACAGCUUAACUGUGGAACUGCAUUGGAAACUUCCGGACUAGAGUGUGAGAGGGGUAAAGGGAAUUCCCGGUGUAAGGGUGAAAUCUGCAGAGAUCGGGAGGAACACCAGUCGCGAAGGCGCUUUACUGGCUCACUACUGACGCUCAGGAACGAAAGCUAGGGUAGCAAACGGG
rnacentral:rRNA from 1 species